GAGACAGACAGAUGGAGAGAGGGGUAGUGUUGAGGCAUCAGACACAUCUCAUCUCUAAACCUUUCCCUGCAGAUCACCAUCUGAGUCAUGACUUCCCGUCGUUUGUCUUCAGUGAUCUGGUUGGUGCAAACGUAUGAGGUGACAAUACAGAACAAACAGCAGGAGAAAAUAGACGUGCUCAAAACUGGGUGAUUGAUUUGAAAACAACAGAGAAAGAACUA
rnacentral:lncRNA from 1 species